UCUCAAAAGAACGAAGAGGACCACACAACGGAGAAAGUCGCGUCUGUUUCACCGACUGGACAAGUUCCUGCAGGAAGAGUGACUGGAUUGGAAUCAUUUGCUCUCAAGGUGGCAAAUAUGGAGGGUUUUUUUCUACUUGGAAGAAGCACAAACCUCAAGCUCACAUCUCUACUCUUCUUUUGCUGCUGCUUUGUGUGGAGGUCAGAAGCCGACUGUGGCAGGCCUCAGAGAGGACAAAACAGCGUGUUUACCGACCAAGCACUCCUGAUGGAUAAAUUUCCAGAGGGCUCCAGCGUCACAUUGGAGUGUUCCAACGGCUACGAAAAGGAGGCAGGCUCGGAAGUCAUAACUUGCCAGAAUGACAACUGGACUCAAGUUGAGCUCAUCUGCAAAAAAAGAGACUGCGGUGUGCCUAAACCUCAACCGAACAUGAUAUUUGACAACACAUCCGGUACCCUCUUUGGCGACGUUGUGCACGUCACGUGUGAGAAAGGUUACGAAAUUAGCGGCUCCAGCUUCAAGCAGUGCUUCUUCCUGGGCUGGUUGGGAAAAUCCGAGUGUCACAUAAAAACGUGCAAGCGGCCCGCAGAAGUGAGCAAUGGCAACAAUUCAUGGGAUUCCCAAGACCCCCCAACGUACGGCCAAGUCAUCCUGUAUAACUGCGACAAAGGCUACACGCUCAUCGGGAACGGCUCCAUCCUGUGCGACGAAACGGGUCAAUAUGAUUCUCCGCCUCCUGAAUGCAAAGUCCUUUCGGCAACGACCAUGUCAUCAGCAGCAGCUCACAGAGAUAAAAUUAUCAGGGGUGGUACAGAAGUCACCACGCGGCGAGGUACAUAUAGCACAUAUGACACACACACAAUGACGAUGGCGGGAGAGGAGGGGAUGGCAAUUAAUGUGACAUCAUCGCCUUCAUCUUUCUUCCAAGAAACCCAUGACGUGGUCACAGAUGCCAAAAAAGAUAUCGAUUAUUUACCUGUUAUACUCAGCGUGGUGUGCGGCACACUCGUCGUAUGCAUAGCGGUGUUCUGUCUGUAUCGGUGUCUUCUAAGGAGGAAAGGGUGUCUGCAUUUGUGACCUUGUAGUUCAUAUGACACUCAAGAAGACAUGAAGUCCAACUUCUUACUCUUCCAAAACCUCUAGAAGGCUGACUGCAUUCCAAGCUGGAAGAAUGCCUAUCUGCUGAAUAGCAUCUGGGAAGUCAGGAAGGAUGUGCCAACACACUGGAGCAGUCCCUCUGAAGGGAAGAAAGGGAAGGGGGAAAAAAGAAUUUGAAAAAUACUAUUGCACUUCCACUGGCAGGCCAUUCUGUUUAGUCAAUGUGUCGCCAGUCCAAUAAUAGUCAAGCACUUUUUUGUUACACGUUGUAAAUAUUCACUGCUACCGAACUAUUAUUUAAUGUAUUUUUUUUUUCGAUUGCUAACUGGAAUACAUGUACAGUAUGUUCUUAUGGGUCAAAUAUGCAGUUUGGCAAAGGAUCUUAGCGUGAGAAAACGGGUGUCGGUGAGGCCCUGCAACAAUGCGGUUCAGUUUGCUGGCUGCGACUGCGGUGGCGGCAGCUGAUAAAAGACACAAUCAGCUGCAUUCUUUGACUUUGCGUGGUCCUCCUGCCCCUCAUUGUGAGGUCUCCCCUUUGCUCGGCUGUGAUGGAUAAUGCAGCACUUCAUGGCAAAGAAUGCAGAAAGGGGGCUACUUACGUUGAUGACUGAGGCAGAUGUGCUGAACCCCCCACCCCCUUCUCACCUUCCAUAUAUGUUAAUUUAAAAACUAGAUGAAAACUUUUUUUUUGUUGGAAUGUGAUCAGGCUUUGUAGCGAUUAGCUAGUCUGCUUGACAAUUGAAAUCCCGGUUCUAGUUUCUACCCAAUGGAGCGACUCGUUCUCCCCAUCUUUGCGUGUUCUUCCAAGUUCUCUGUUUUCCUCCAACAAGUUGAUUGCAGGUUUGUCUACGUCUGAAUAGAUAAUGGAUGGAUGGGUUUGUGGAAUUUUUUUGGGUUGUGCCGGAUAGAUUGUUGUGUUUUCAUGUUAUGUCUUAGUUCCCGACGUGCUUUGUCUUCUGUCUUGUCUGCUUGAUUUGAUUUAGUCUCGGUGUGUUCUCAGCCCCGUUUCUUUGUUUCAACAAAUCAACUCCCGACACCCACUCAUGCGUUGUCCAGGUGUGCUUCAUUGUUUUCUCAGUUUGCUCUUGUCGGUUGUCGGUACAUUGAGCUACUGUUGGUCAUACUCAUCGAGUCAUGUUUCCUUUUGUGGCAAAUGUAUUCCGUGUUAGUUUAGACCAGGGGUGCCCAUCAGAUCGAUCCUGAUCUACCGGUAGAUCUAAGACAGUUCCCAAGUAGAUCCGAGGAGUGUCGAGGAGAAAAAAAACAAAACAACCAUUAUUGUGUCUUUGUACAUGUUAGUAAUAUAUUUUUUGUGUUAAUGUACGCUGCACCCUAAUCAUCCUAUCAAGUCUCAUUUUCACCCAAAAAUAUUUAAAAAAUAAAAUAAAGCAGGUAAAUCUUGAAUUUACGGUGGCGCGUGAUUACGUCACCAGAAGUUGUUAGCGCUCAGCAGUUUGCAAUUGCAGCUUGUGAUCAGAACUGUUGCGCUCUAUCUUUUAUCGUCAUUAUUCUCAUUCGUUUGCUUCGUGUACUAUUCAACGAGGGCACGAGCAAAGAAUAGGAAUCUAGGAGGGCCCAGGGAAGCACUUUAAAACGGCACGUGUGGGCUACGAUAGUUAACAGACUGCAAAAGUGCAUCGCAUGCCUCAGUUUCAGGCUUUCUCAUCAUGGCGUGCGUGCGUGUGUGUGCGCAUGCGUGCUGGUAAGGGUAGAUCCCGGGAGAUUAGUUGAUCGAAAAGUAGAUCUUCGGUCCAAAAAGUGGGGGCACCCCUGGUUUAGACCUUGCUUUUCCCUCGACUAGUUUGUCAUUUCCAUGUACCUUUUUUGUAAAUAAUUCCCUUUUUUUGUGCUCACUCAUGCUCCAUGGGUUUUGCCUCCACACCAACACUGACUAGCUAAUUGUGAUGCUGUCUUAAAAACAUAUUUGAAGUAAAUUUCAGAACAACGGAAACUCGCGCUUAUUUCCUGAGCACUUAUAACGCUGGUCAUAACAGUGUGAUAAACAUGUCAUUUAAAAACAACAAA